UACAGAGGGUGCGAGCGUUAAUCUGAAUUACUGGGCGUAAAGCGCGCGUAGACGGUUAUGUAAGUCAGGUGUGAAAGCCCCGGGCUCAACCUGGGAAUUGCAUUUGAGACUGCAUAGCUAGGGUGCGGAAGAGGGAAGCGGAAUUUCCGGUGUAGCGGUGAAAUGCGUAGAUAUCGGAAGGAACAUCAGUGGCGAAAGCGGCUUCCUGGUCCAGCACCGACGUUCAGGCACGAAAGCGUGGGGAGCGAACCGG
rnacentral:rRNA from 1 species